rnacentral:rRNA from 1 species
GAUGAACGCUGGCGGCGUGCCUAAUACAUGCAAGUCGAGCGAAUGGAUUAAGAGCUUGCUCUUAUGAAGUUAGCGGCGGACGGGUGAGUAACACGUGGGUAACCUGCCCAUAAGACUGGGAUAACUCCGGGAAACCGGGGCUAAUACCGGAUAACAUUUUGAACCGCAUGGUUCGAAAUUGAAAGGCGGCUUCGGCUGUCACUUAUGGAUGGACCCGCGUCGCAUUAGCUAGUUGGUGAGGUAACGGCUCACCAAGGCAACGAUGCGUAGCCGAACUGAGAGGGUGAUCGGCCACCCUGGGACUGAGACACGGCCCAGACUACUACGGGAGGCAGCAGUAGGGAAUCUUCCGCAAUGGACGAAAGUCUGACGGAGCAACGCCGCGUGAGUGAUGAAGGCUUUCGGGUCGUAAAACUCUGUUGUUAGGGAAGAACAAGUGCUAGUUGAAUAAGCUGGCACCUUGACGGUACCUAACCAGAAAGCCACGGCUAACUACGUGCCAGCCGCCGCGGUAA